UUAUAGAUAACGGUGAAAAAAAAGACAAAAAGGUGAGUUUCACUAACAUGCCUCAGGAUAUAAUGCUGAGAAAGUUUUAAGCACAAAUCCAAACAAACGCUAACUUGGUACUCCCACGUAUGACAUCAUCCACAUCAGUAUAUUUCUCAUACCAGUGCAAAAAUUAUGUUAUCGCUUAGUAAUUUUGACCCAUUUAUAUACACACACAUGCGCGCACACAAAAUGAGUUGAUUUAAGUCACGGGUCAAAUGAGUUAAGCUAAAAUAUUUAACUCUAAAAGGUAACAUGUCAAACGGGCCAAAAGCCAUCCAAUAUUCCAAUAUGGAUUGAAAUGCUCAUAGAUUUCUUUAGUAACCACAAGUUAAAUUGUAACUAUAAUAGUGAAGUAUAUAAGAUAUUUUAACAAACUAAAAACUUACAAAGCUCAACUAUCAAGAAAAGGUGUCUAGGGAAUUGGGGGUCUGCUUGACCCGUUCUGCCCAGUACUAUAAAACAACCUGAAUCGACCCAUUAUCAGUUCUGCCCGACCCAACUAUUUUUCCACUCCUAAUGUCUAAAGUAGUCUUCAGCUUCUAACUAUAUCCGGUUCCGUUCAAACUCACCUCCAAUGUUAUAAAAGCAACAAUAAGCUUACAAGUAAAGAGUAAGCUUCAAGAGAUAAGAUAUUAAUAUAAAUGAAAACUGAAAAGAAAUAACCAUCAUUU
rnacentral:lncRNA from 1 species